UACGGGGGGGGCAAGCGUUGUUCGGAAUUACUGGGCGUAAAGGGUUCGUAGGUGGCCAACUAAGUCAUACGUGAAAUCCCUCAGCUUAACUGGGGAACUGCGUCUGAUACUGGAUGGCUUGAGUUUGGGAGAGGGAUGCGGAAUUCCAGGUGUAGCGGUGAAAUGCGUAGAUAUCUGGAGGAACACCGGUGGCGAAGGCGGCAUCCUGGACCAACACUGACACUGAGGAGCGAAAGCCAGGGGAGCAAACGGG
rnacentral:rRNA from 1 species